UCCGUAGUCUGAAUUGUAAGUCUGUUUUCAAAUCCUACGACUCAAUCGUAGAAAGGGAAUGGAUACUGCAAUUCUGGAAGUAUCUAGGGGUUAGUGGAAUUUCCGGUGGAGCGGUGAAAUGCGUUGAUAUCGGAAGGAACGCCGAAAGCGAAAGCAGCUAACUAUAGAAUACUUGACGAUGAGGGACGACAGUUUGGGGAGCAAACAGGA
rnacentral:rRNA from 1 species